CCCCAUGCUGCUCGGAGCGUCCUGGCUGUGCGCGUCCAAGGCGGCCGCCGCUGCUGCGCAGAGCGAGGGCGACGAGGACAGGCAGGGUGAGCGGCGGCGGCGGCGGGUGGCAGCCUUGGGGACUAGCGAGGAUAUGGACGAGUCGUCGCUGCUGGACCUGCUGGAGUGCUCCGUGUGCCUGGAGCGCCUGGAUACCACGGCCAAGGUGCUGCCAUGCCAGCACACCUUCUGCCGCCGCUGUCUGGAGAGCAUCGUGUGCUCGCGCCACGAGCUGCGCUGCCCCGAGUGCCGCAUCCUGGUGGGCUGCGGCGUGGACGACCUGCCCGCCAACAUAUUGCUGGUGCGCCUGCUGGACGGCAUCCGCCAGAGACCCCGCACCGGCGCCAGCCCUGGCGGUAGUCCGCCAGCGCGCCCCGGUCCCAGUACGUCCCCAGCGCUAGCGGGCGGCGGGGGCGGCGCAGCGGGCAGCGCCCUCGGCUCCCCGGUCUUCCUCCCCGUGGCGGCGGGCAGUGCCACCUCCAGCCUGUGCGAGCUGGAGACCAACCGUAGCGUGCCAGUGGCAAAGGUAAGAAUUUGCCCCGCAGAAUGACUCCACUAUGUGUGGGAAUGUGAAUGCGUGU